CUUAAUGCUUGCGAGUUGUAGGUGCUUGUUUAAUCUCUGGGAUGCUGAGUGAGACGCGACUGGCAGAGUCCAAAACCUUAAUCAAAUGUUGGAGUCGAUCCGCCUUCCAUUUACUCCGAUAUCUCGGGACAUCUUCUUUUUUUGUCUUUUUCUUCUUUGAUUCUAAGUUGAGAAUCAUCUCGUGGGUCAUUUCGAUCCGUGUGGCUCGAGGUUAGACCUGCGGGGAAGAAACAAACAAACAAAAUUUUCUGCCCCAGUUACACUAGGAAAAUUUCGUGAAUUAUUUGCCAGGAAGUUCAUAAAAUUGAUGAAAGAAGAUACGAAAGCUCAGUUCAGGUUUGGAGCCCUAAUAUCGACUAGCUGGGGAGAAGUUCAGUUUUAAAGUUAAAACUCUAAUACUGACCAACUGGGGAAAAGUUCAGUUUAGGGUCGGGGACCUAAUGCUGACUGGCUGAAAAAGUUCAGUUUAGGGUUUAAAACCCUAAUGCCGACUGAAAGGAAAAGUUCAGUUUAGGGUUUAAAACCCUAAUGCUGACCGAAAGGAAAGAGUUCAGUUUAGGGUUUAAAACCCUAAUGCUGACUAAAGGGAAAAAGUUCAGUUUAGU
rnacentral:lncRNA from 1 species